GCCUGAAUAAGAAUCACCGCCAAUAUAGAGUGGAUGAAACACAAACUUUGGGUGACCCAUAAGCCACUUUCUUAGAAAUUCAUAAGUUUGUGCUACUGAGGAUAGAUCACCAGUUUUAUAUCCCUCUGAAGUUGUUGCAUAGGAGAAUCCAGUGCCAACCGGAGCAUCCAAAAAUAUUAUAUUUGCAACCUUGGUCCAUGAGUAUGGAUUCAAGGUCAACGUUGGCAGUGUCUUCCAACUAAAGUUCGAAUAAUUGAAAGUUAUUGGACCGAUUUCAUAAAAAAUGGCAGAUAAAGCAGAGCAGCCAGGGCCUCCUGUGAGCCAAAGCACAAGGGGAUCAAGUCUUGGAUUCCUCUCAGACUCAAUGAAGUAGUAGAAUAGCUGCACUUCAUCCAUCUCGCCUACUCCGAUAUACCCAGUUUCAAGCGUAAACGGUAGAUCUCCAUCAAACCCAGGUAGAGUCUUGAUGAUUGAUUGUGAAGCGACUACGCUGGUGAAGAUCAAAACAAGAAUAACUUGUGAUAACAUUUUGUUCAUCAAAGAAGGUCCUGGAAUUAGUAUCGGUUGAGGUUGGAUUACUCAGCUGAUACACACAUAUAUAUAGCCAGUGGUGGUGGUUAUGAGUUCUGCC
rnacentral:misc_RNA from 1 species